rnacentral:rRNA from 1 species
UACGGAGGGUGCGAGCGUUGUCCGGAAUCACUGGGCGUAAAGGGCGCGUAGGCGGCCGUGUAAGUCACUUGUGAAAUCCCGGGGCUCAACUCCGGGGCCGCAGGUGAGACUGCGUGGCUAGAGCACGGUAGAGGCGAGUGGAACUCCUGGUGUAGCGGUGGAAUGCGCAGAUAUCAGGAAGAACACCAACGGCGAAGGCAGCUCGCUGGGACGGUACUGACGCUGAGACGCGAAAGCGUGGGGAGCGAACAGG